GCUGCUGACGUUGUAGUGGUUGGGGAUAUAUUUGUUGUCAUAGAAGCUACAGUUGUUGUUGUAGGUGCUGCAGUUGUGGUUGUCGUAGCAGCUUCAGUUGUAGUUGUCGUAGCAGGUGCUGCAGUUGUGGUUAUCGUAGGAGCUUCAGUUGUAGUUGUUGAAGUAGGUGGUGUAGUUGUGGUGGUAGGAGCUACAGUUGUACUUGGAGCUACAGUUGUGGUUGUCGUAGGAGCUACAGUUGUCGUUGUAGGUGCUGCUGUUGUAGUGGUCGUAGUAUCUAAAGUUGUAGUAGGAGUAUCAGUUGAGGUUGUCGUAGUAGCUGCGUUUGUAGUGGUCGUAGUGGGUGCUUCUGUUGUAAUGGUCGUGGGAUCUAAAG
rnacentral:lncRNA from 1 species